CCAAUAGCGUAUAUUAAAGUUGUUGCAGUUAAAAAGCUCGUAGUUGAAUUUCGGGGUUAGUAGGUUGGUCAUGCCUCUGGUAUGUACUGGUCUCACUGAUUCCUCCUUCCUGAUGAGCCGUAAUGCCAUUAAUUUGGUGUUGCGGGGAAUUUGGACUGUUACUUUGAAAAAAUUAGAGUGUUUAAAGCAGGCUCACGCUUGAAUACAUUAGCAUGGAAUAAUGAAAUAGGACGUUUGAUUCUAUUUUGUUGGUUUCUAGGAUCGACGUAAUGAUUAAUAGGGAUAGUUGGGGGCAUUAGUAUUCAAUUGUCAGAGGUGAAAUUCUUGGAUUUAUUGAAGACUAACUACUGCGAAAGCAUUUGCCAAGGAUGUUUUCAUUAAUCAAGAACGAAAGUUAGGGGAUCGAAGACGAUCAGAUACCGUCGUAGUCUUAACCAUAAACUAUGCCGACUAGGGAUCGGAUGAUGUUAAUUUUUUAAUGACUCAUUCGGCGCCUUACG
rnacentral:rRNA from 1 species